rnacentral:rRNA from 1 species
UACGUAGGGUGCGAGCGUUAAUCGGAAUUACUGGGCGUAAAGCGUGCGCAGGCGGUUUUGUAAGUCCGAUGUGAAAGCCCCGGGCUUAACCUGGGAAUGGCAUUUGGGACUGCAAGGCUUGAGUGCGGCAGAGGAGACUGGAAUUCCUGGUGUAGCAGUGAAAUGCGUAGAUAUCAGGAGGAAUACCGAUGGCGAAGGCAGGUCUCUGGGCUGACACUGACGCUCAUGCACAAAAGCGUGGGGAGCAAACAGG